rnacentral:rRNA from 1 species
CAACAGGGAUGCCUCACGUAACGUGCGAGUGAAGCGGCAACAGCUCAAAUUUGAAAUCUGGCCUCACGGCCCGAGUUGUAAUUUGUAGAGGAUGUUUUGGGUACCGCCGCGGUUUAAAUUUCUUGGAACAGAAUGUCAAAGAGGGUGAGAAUCCCGUCUUGGACCGCGGUAGGGCCUGUGUAAAACUCCUUCGACGAGUCGACUUGUUUGGGAAUGCAGGUCAAAAUGGGUGGUAAAUUUCAUCUAAAGCUAAAUAUUGGCCAGAGACCGAUAGCGCACAAGUAGAGUGAUCGAAAGAUGAAAAGCACUUUGAAAAGAGAGUUAAACAGUAUGUGAAAUUGUUGAAAGGGAAGCGCUGGCAACCAGACUCGUGCGCGGGGUUCCCCUCAGUUUCGGCUGGGGCUACUUCCCCGUGUCCGGGCCAUCAUCAGUUUUGGGGGUCGGUCAAAGGUUUCAGGAAUGUAUCCACGCCUUCGGGGGUGGACUUAUAGCCUGGAGCGUCAUGCGGCCACCUGGGACUGAGGAACGCGCUUCGGCGAGGAUGAUGGCGUAAUGGUUGUCAGCGACCCGUCUUGAAACACGGACCAAGGAGUCUAACAUCUAUGCGAGUGUUCGGGUGUCAAACCCUUGCGCGGAAUGAAAGUGAACGGAGGUAGGAAGGCUUUAGCCUGCACUAUCGACCGAUCCGGAUGUCUUCGGAUGGAUUUGAGUAAGAGCAUAGCUGUUGGGACCCGAAAGAUGGUGAACUAUGCGUGAAUAGGGUGAAGCCAGAGGAAACUCUGGUGGAGGCUCGCAGCGGU